rnacentral:misc_RNA from 1 species
ACACACCGCCCGUCGCUACUACCGAUUGAAUGGCUCAGUGAGGCGUUCGGACUGGCUCGGGGAGGUUGGCAACGACCACCCCAAGCCGGAAAGUUCGUCAAACUCGGUCAUUUAGAGGAAGUAAAAGUCGUAACAAGGUCUCCGUAGGUGAACCUGCGGAGGGAUCAUUACACAACAAAAUAUGAAGGCCUGGCUUUCGCGGCCGGCUGAAGUAUUUUUUUCACCCAUGUCUUUUGCGCACUUGUUGUUUCCUGGGCGGGUUCGCCCGCCACCAGGACCAAACCAUAAACCUUUUUUUCUUAUGCAGUUUCCAUCAGCGUCAGUAAAAACAAUGUAAUUAUUACAACUUUCAACAACGGAUCUCUUGGUUCUGGCAUCGAUGAAGAACGCAGCGAAAUGCGAUACGUAGUGUGAAUUGCAGAAUUCAGUGAAUCAUCGAAUCUUUGAACGCACAUUGCGCCCUUUGGUAUUCCAAAGGGCAUGCCUGUUCGAGCGUCAUUUGUACCUUCAAGCUUUGCUUGGUGUUGGGCGUUUUUUUGUCUCCCUCUUUCUGGGAGACUCGCCUUAAAACGAUUGGCAGCCGGCCUACUGGUUUCGGAGCGCAGCACAUUUUUUGCGCUUUGUAUCAGGAGAAAAGGACGGUACUCCAUCAAGACUCUACAUU